rnacentral:misc_RNA from 1 species
UGGAAACAGUCUCUCUGCAAAGUAGGGGUAAGGUUGCGUGCAUACAUCAACCCUCCUCGGGUUCCAAAAGUGUAGGAUGUUUUGUGCAUUGGGUCACUAAUUGAUUUUUGUUGGCAUCUUAAAAUGUUCAUGGCUUAAAUUUUGCUCAACAAAUAUGCUUAUAAAGAGGAAAGUUGAAAACAUACCUUGUUGCACUUCGUGAUUUUCAUAUGUUAUCACCUUAACACCAUCUUUAGGGGUACUAGACAUACGGUGCCUAAACGGACAACCGAGGGAUAUCUCAUCAAUAUAAUGUUAACAAGUCAUUUUUAAGAAAUGGCAUUUUUGCAUCUUAUGCAAUGGUUCACUCCAAUGUUAUUGGUGUGAAUAUUGGUCAUUAUGCCAUUAUGUUUCACGCUUGUUGGUGAAACUUUUCUUUCAAAUGCUAAAAUUUAAUGAAUGUUGUCGGAAGACAUAUACAAUUUCCUGAUUCUAGAUGCUAUUAAAAAGAGAGAGAGAGAGAGA